AAGCAGUGACAGUGCAGGAAUGACACCCAACCUGGUGCAUACUGUGCAGGGAGCCUCUCAUACAAUGAUGAAUUGUUUAAAAAAAGACCCAUGUUCAGGCUACAGGGUCGAAGCUUCUGGGAUCAUCCACCAGGGCCAUUUCCCACACACAAACCAUUAUCUGUACCUGCGGACAGAACAACAAAGAACACAAGGUCUCAGAUUAAACCCGGAGAAGAACCACAGAGUUAAAUCACGUUUAAAAGAUGAGCAAGUGGUGAAACUGAGGGAAAGCGAGGAGACAACGACAGAUAUCGUCUGUAGCUUCUCGUCCUGAGGCAGGAGAGCUGCGACACGGCUUCAUUCCUCUCCACUGUCCGACCGAGACUCACACACUCCCGACAGGAGACCGGAGGAGGAGCAGAGGAAGUAGAGAGGAGUUAAAAGGCUCCGCAGCGGAGAAGCAUUAAAGGAGCAGUGGACGGAGGUGCUCUCUGUGCUAUGGAAGCCUGAACUGACGUAAUGCUCUCCGCACAUUCCUGUACGGCGAGCGGGAGGGAUCAGAGCAGCACCUGGAAACAGGAGAGGAGCGAAGUCUGCGCCCAAAGCGACAGGGAAUAACAGCAGCGCCAUCUAGUGUCGAGGCGACCACUCUGCUGCCGCUGCUGCCGCUUCUCCUUCUUGUUGUCGUUUUCUCUCCCUUCUCUCCUUCUCAUUGUCCUUCUUCAUCGUCAUCUGCUGUACAUUUUUACAUCUUCUUUUUCUCCUUCUUAAUUUCUCCCGUUUCUUCUUCUCCUUUUCAGGCAAAUGAAUUGGCUUUUUGAGGGCUUUAACAUGCUCAAAUCUUACCAAAAUUUGCAGAAAAUUAGAAAGUAGUGAAAAACAAAUCUGUCUCAUGAUCAGAGUCCAAGCCUGAACAGCUCUAUGUGUCAAUAUUUCCUCAGUCAUCAUUAUUUCUUUCUUUCAGGCAAAAGGCAAAACGCAUGCAACGCUUGAAAAUGCAUGUGCUCGGCCCGCUAAGUGCUGCUUUGCAGACCAAAGUAUAAGAUACUUACUGGGAAAUUACAAUUCAUUUGAAUAUUGUAUUAAAGAAUUGCCUCAACACAAUGACAAAGGCAAAUUUCAUAAUUUGGAAUGAAAAUAUUUGGAACAACCUAGUCUUCCUCAACGUUUGUCUAGUUAAUUUUCUAUUGAGACCUCUCUAAUGGACUGUGUGAACAUUUGUGUUCACCCUUCAUGUAUUAAAUAAAA